rnacentral:rRNA from 1 species
GGACUACCAGGGUUUCUAAUCCUGUUCGCUCCCCACGCUUUCGCUCCUCAGCGUCAGUUACUGCCCAGAGACCCGCCUUCGCCACCGGUGUUCCUCCUGAUAUCUGCGCAUUCCACCGCUACACCAGGAAUUCCAGUCUCCCCUGCAGUACUCCAGUCUGCCCGUAUCGCCCGCACGCUCACAGUUAAGCCGUGAGAUUUCACGAACAACGCGACAAACCACCUACGAGCUCUUUACGCCCAGUAAUUCCGGACAACGCUCGCACCCUACGUAUUACCGCGGCUGCUGGCAC